UUCAAUGAGAGUUUGAUCAUAGCUCAGGAUGAACGUUGGCUGUGUGCCUAAGGUAUGCAAGUCGAACGGUUUCUUUUUGAAAUUUUGAAACUUCGGUCGAUAAAUUUCUGUUUGAAAUAGUGGCAAACGGGUGAGUAACAUGUGGAUUAUCUGCCUUGAAGUCGGGAACAGCUCGUCGAAAGACGGGGUAAUACUCGAUAGUCUUACAUCUUUUUUAGUUUGUAAGUAAAACUACGGUGCUUCAAGAUGAGUCCGCAUCCUAUCAGCUUGUUGGUAAGGUAAUGGCUUACCAAGGCGAAGACGGGUAGCUGGCGUGAGAGCGCGGUCAGCCACCAUGGAACUGAGACACGGUCCAUACUCCUACGGGAGGCAGCAAUUAGGAAUCUUGCACAAUGGGGGCAACCCUGAUGCAGCGACACAGUGUGGGGGAGGAAGGUCCUCGGAUUGUAAACCCCUUUUAUAUGGGAAGAAUAGAUGACGGUACCAUAUGAAUAAGCACCUGCUAACUACGUGCCAGAAGCAUCGGUGAUGCGUAGGGUGCGAACGUUAUCCGGAUUUAUUGGGCGUAUAGAGAUGCGUAGGUGUUCUUGUAAGUCUUUAGUUAAAGACCACGGCCUAACCGUGGAAGGGCUUUGGAAACUGCAAGAAUAGAGACAGGAAGAGGCGAAUGGAAUUCCAAGUGGAGCGGUGAAAUGCGUUGAUAUUUGGAGGAACAUCAGUGGCGAAGGCGAUUCGCUGGUCCUUGUCUGACACUAAGGCUCGAAAGCGUGGGUAGCAAAACGGAUUAGAUACCCGUGUAGUCCACGCUGUAAACAAUGGAUGCUAGAUGUUCGAUACAACUAUCUAUUUCUUCGGAAAUAAAUGGAAGUAUUGAGUGUCGCAGCUAACGCGUUAAGCAUCCCGCCUGGGAAGUACGGCCGCAAGGCUAAAACUCAAAUGAAUUGGCGGGAACCCGCACAAGCAGAGGAGCGCGUGGUUUAAUUCGACGGCAAUCGAAGAACCUUACCAGGGUUUGAAAUGUAUCUGCAUGCCUUAUGAAAAUAGGGAGGCCUUCGAGGGUGAUACACAGGUGCUGCAU
rnacentral:rRNA from 1 species